CGAACGGGUGAGUAAUAUAUCGGAACGUGCCCAGUAGUGGGGGAUAGCCCGGCGAAAGCCGGAUUAAUACCGCAUACGACCUACGGGUGAAAGCGGGGGACUCGCAAGGGCCUCGCGUUAUUGGAGCGGCCGAUAUCAGAUUAGCUUGUUGGCGGGGUAAAAGCCCACCAAGGCGACGAUCUGUAGCUGGUCUGAGAGGACGACCAGCCACACUGGGACUGAGACACGGCCCAG
rnacentral:rRNA from 1 species